GUUGACUUCAGAAGACAAAGAUCAUGCUGUAAGGCUGAAUUACUCUUUUGAGAUGGGAAAUGAACAGAAAUAGGAUUCAAAGCUGAUGCCCAGAAAAGGACACAAUGAAAUUUAGCAUUCAUAAAUUGCUCAGGGCCUUUUGUAAAAUCCCAGCCCAUGAUAUCAGGACCUUCUUUCCUUGUUCUGAAGAUCUUGACGCUGGACUCAGAUUUUUCAUCAGUCUCUAGCUGGGGUCUGCAUGCCACUGCAUCCAAAUCACACAUCUUCCAGGGCAGAGAAGUUGCUGAGGAUGCUUCAGCACCAUAAGACAUGAUUAUGAAGUGAGAAAGACAAACUUCUACCACAGUUAUCACUGUGCCUUCACCUAGAAAAUUACAAGGACUGUGUUUGUAUCUGUCUCACUUCUGUUAAGUUGGAUCUGCGGUAACUCCUACACCCCUGGUUUUGAGCUUUAGUCCUGAAAGGUUUGAUUCACCACCAAAUACCUUCCAUUUCAUUGUCAUAAUUGCAUUGAUUUCAGCUAAAUUCUGUGAAGUUAUUUUGCGAUGAUAGAGCAGUAAUUUAAAAAAAAAAAAAAUCCUGUAAAAGUCUUAUGGAUCCUUUUUGAUUUUAAAAAGUUCA